rnacentral:piRNA from 1 species
UAAAAGGCAUUCUUUUUCCAUUUUAAAG